AUUGAACGCUGGCGGCAGGCCUAACACAUGCAAGUCGAGCGAGCGGCGGACGGGUGAGUAAUGCCUAGGAAUCUGCCUGGUCGUGGGGGAUAACGUCCGGAAACGGUAGAUACUACCGCAUACCAUCAGACGUGCCCAGAUGGGAUUAGCGAGUAGGUGGGGUAACGGCUCACCUAGGCGACGAUCCCUAGCUGGUCUGAGAGGAUGACCAGCCACACUGGAACUGAGACACGGUCCAGACUCCUACGGGAGGCAGCCGUGGGAAAUAUUGCACAAUGGGCGCAAGCCUGAUGCAGCCAUGCCGCGUGUGGGAAGAAGGCCUUCGGGUUGUAAAGCACUUUCAGCGGGGAGGCGUUACCCGCAGAAGAAGCACCGGCUAACUCCGUGCCAGCAGCCGCGGUAAUUC
rnacentral:rRNA from 1 species